GAUGAACGCUGGCGGCGUGCCUAAUACAUGCAAGUCGAGCGAACAGACGAGGAGCUUGCUCCUCUGACGUUAGCGGCGGACGGGUGAGUAACACGUGGAUAACCUACCUAUAAGACUGGGAUAACUUCGGGAAACCGGAGCUAAUACCGGAUAAUAUAUUGAACCGCAUGGUUCAAUAGUGAAAGACGGUUUUGCUGUCACUUAUAGAUGGAUCCGCGCCGCAUUAGCUAGUUGGUAAGGUAACGGCUUACCAAGGCAACGCUGCGUAGCCGACCUGGGAGGGUGAUCGGCCACACUGGAACUGAGACACGGUCCAGACUCCUACGGGAGGCAGCAGUAGGGAAUCUUCCGCAAUGGGCGAAAGCUUGACGGAGCAACGCCGCGUGAGUGAUGAAGGUCUUCGGAUCGUAAAACUCUGUUAUUAGGGAAGAACAAAUGUGUAAGUAACUAUGCACGUCUUGACGGUACCUAAUCAGAAAGCCACGGCUAACUACGUG
rnacentral:rRNA from 1 species